rnacentral:misc_RNA from 1 species
UAUUUAUUUAUUUUUAUUUUUUAUGCGGUUUUCUUCUUCUUUCCCAGCGUUUAUCAAUAUAUUAAUGCCAAAGUAGCUGAAACGGAUAAAUUAAAAUUACUAAAUGGCAAAUGUACAAAAGGGAAUUUGUACAAAACUCGUGAUGAGAGAAAUGUUAACAUUCAAAUUAAGAGUUACUCAAUGACAUAAAGAGCAGUUCACUGUUCAAAAAAGAUCUCAGGUUAAAUAUUAAAAUGGAAUUCCACUUAUAUUUUGUAUAAAUUCCCCUUUUAGACUAUGCCCAUCCUAAACAUUACUACAAGAAACACGUCGUUUAAGUUGUAUAACAUAUGAAAUCAAACACCUUGGUCCAAUAGAAACAAUAAAAACAUUGAAAUGAUUGAUAUACUUAAAACAAACCAAUUAAAAAGGACGUGGAAUAUCUUUCUUAGCGUUUAUCAAUAUAUUAACGCCAAAGUAGCUGAAACGGACAAAAGUAUUAAUAAAUGGCAAAUAUACAGAAGGCAAUUUGCACAAAACUCGUGAUGAGAAAAAUGUA